rnacentral:snoRNA from 1 species
CUACCCCCUUUCACUUUGCUAAUGGGACUUAUAUCUUCAUUGGUCAUUCAAGUAGGGCAAAGGAAAUUUCCUUUUUUUUGGUUGGUCAUGGGGUUUGAAC